AUGGUGACAAACAUAUUUGCAUUCAAUGCAUUGCCUGAUAACCUGUGCGAGAAUGGUAUGUUCGGUGAGGCAGAUAGGGUUUUCAAUGAAGUGUUAGACAGGGGUCUGGUGCCAAAUGAGGCGAGUUAUCCUAUACUGAUGCAUUCACUAUGCAAAAGGGGCAUGGUGGAGGAUGUGCUUCAUAUGUUUCAUAGGUUGCGGGAGAAGGGAGUCAGACUGACAGUUUAUCCGUACAUUUCCUUAAUUAACGAUUGCUACAAAACAGGAGGAUUUGGACAUGGCAGACGGACUUUCUGGGGGAGAUGGCUAAGAUAG
rnacentral:rRNA from 1 species